rnacentral:rRNA from 1 species
CAUUAAAGAAAUAAUCUCGAGGGCCUUUGGAAAGGAGAGAGGGUUGUAGCUGGCGUAAGCACGUGCACGCCCUCUUUCUCGACCUGGGUCCUUAUGGGCGCGGGGCGACCCGCGUCUUCAUAAGCCCCUUCGUGUAGAAAGUCUAUGAAUGUUUUUAUUAUCAUCGACUCGCGACUUCUAGGAGACGCGAUUCUUUGAGACAAAAGUUAUUACAACUUUCAGCAAUGGAUCUCUUGGCUCUCGCAUCGAUGAAGAACGCAGCGAAUCGCGAUAUGUAAUGUGAAUUGCAGAUCUACAGUGAAUCAUCGAAUCUUUGAACGCACCUUGCGCUUAUCGGUGUUCCGAUGAGCAUGCCUGUUUGAGCGUCAUUAAAUUCUCAACCCCUCUCGAUUUGCUUCGAGAGGGUGCUUGGAUUGUGGAGGCUGCCGGAGACCUGUUUUUUCAGGACUCGGGCUCCUCUGAAAUGUAUUGGCUUGCGGUCGACUUUCGACUGUGCAUGACAAGGCCUUUGGCGUGAUAAUGAUCGCCGCUCGCCGAAGUGCACGAACGAAUGGUCUCGUGCCUCUAAUCAGUCGANGCCUUUUCGAAGGCGUCUUCCUUAUUGACGUUGACCU